AUUGAACGCUGGCGGCAUGCCUAACACAUGCAAGUCGAACGGUAACAGGAAACAUCUUGCUGUUUCGCUGACGAGUGGCGGACGGGUGAGUAAUGUCUGGGAAACUGCCUGAGGGAGGGGGAUAACUACUGGAAACGGUAGCUAAUACCGCAUAACGUCGCAAGACCAAAGAGGGGGACCUUCGGGCCUCUUGCCAUCGGAUGUGCCCAGAUGGGAUUAGCUAGUAGGUGGGGUAACGGCUCACCCAGGCGACGAUCCCUAGCUGGUCUGAGAGGAUGACCAGCCACACUGGAACUGAGACACGGUCCAGACUCCUACGGGAGGCAGCAGUGGGGAAUAUUGCACAAUGGGCGAAAGCCUGAUGCAGCCAUGCCGCGUGUAUGAAGAAGGCCUUCGGGUUGUAAAGUACUUUCAGCGGGGAGGAAGGGAGUAAAGUUAAUACAUUCACUCAUUGACGUUACCCGCAGAAGAAGCACCGGCUAACUCCGUG
rnacentral:rRNA from 1 species